rnacentral:rRNA from 1 species
UUGCUCGGAAUUAUUGGGCGUAAAGCGCACGUAGGCGGCUCUGUAAGUUGGAUGUGAAAUCCCUCGGCUUAACCAAGGAAGUGCAUUCAAAACUGCAGAGCUUGAGUACUUAAGAGGAUCGCGGAAUUCCCGGUGUAGAGGUGAAAUUCGUAGAUAUCGGGAGGAACACCAGUGGCGAAGGCGGCGAUCUGGGAAGAUACUGACGCUGAGGUGCGAAAGCGUGGGGAGCAAACAGG